UAUUCAACUAGUAAAAC
rnacentral:tRNA from 1 species